UACAGAGGUCCCGAGCGUUGUUCGGAUUCACUGGGCGUAAAGGGUGCGUAGGUGGUGAGGUAAGUCGGAUGUGAAAUCUCCGGGCUCAACCCGGAAAUGGCAUUGGAAACUACCUUGCUGGAGGAUUUGAGGGGGGAUUGGAAUACUUGGUGUAGCAGUGAAAUGCGUGGAUAUCAAGUGGAACACCAGUGGCGAAGGCGAAUCCCUGGAAAAUACCUGACACUGAGGCACGAAAGCUAGGGGAGCAAACAGG
rnacentral:rRNA from 1 species